AGAGUUUGAUUAUGGCUCAGGAUGAACGCUAGCUACAGGCUUAACACAUGCAAGUCGAGGGGCAGCAUGAUCGAAGCUUGCUUUGAUUGAUGGCGACCGGCGCACGGGUGAGUAACGCGUAUCCAACCUUCCCUAUAGUAGAGGAUAGCCCGGCGAAAGUCGGAUUAAUACUCUAUGUUUUCCGAAGCAGACAUCUAAUUUGGAACAAAGGUUCACCGCUAUAGGAUGGGGAUGCGUCUGAUUAGGUAGUCGGCGGGGUAACGGCCCACCGAGCCAACGAUCAGUAGGGGUUCUGAGAGGAAGGUCCCCCACAUUGGAACUGAGACACGGUCCAAACUCCUACGGGAGGCAGCAGUGAGGAAUAUUGGUCAAUGGGCGAGAGCCUGAACCAGCCAAAGUAGCGUGCAGGAUGACGGCCCUAUGGGUUGUAAACUGCUUUUAUACGGGGAUAAAGUGAGGGACGUGUCCCUUUUUGUAGGUACCGUAUGAAUAAGGACCGGCUAAUUCCGUGCCAGCCGCGGC
rnacentral:rRNA from 1 species